ensembl:lncRNA
GUUCUUCUGCAUCCUCUACCCCUGCUGUGCUGGGAUAAUCGGGUUUCCUAUCCUUCAGUGAUUUAUCACGGAUGCUCAGAGGCUAAUACCUUGAGGGCAGCUGUCUCACUGAGCAAGAGAGAAAGGGUAACAGAUCCGUUUGUGUUAGCAGUUUGAUGUCACCGUGACAAAUUUUGCCUUCUUGUCGUCGUCUUGCACAAACUGCUGACUGUUGGAGCUAAUCCCUUUUCUACUAAACCACAAAAAAGACCACGUAACAAAAAUAACAUCAGUGGUAGAAGAAAAAAGAACGGAUCAGCAGCGGUUUGACUUGCAGGGGAAUGUUUCUUAUGAUGAAAACAUACAGCACAGAGAGCCUUAUUUCCAUCAAGCCUUCAGCUGAUCUCCAUUUCUCAUGCCUACUUUUUGCACAUGUGCAGGAAGGCCAGGAGGGACUUCUCAUUGGGGAUUUUGAAUCUCACCAGGGGGGAUGGUUCAGGUUCUUACCUCGUUUCACUCCCCUAUUACCUGCAGCGUUGGGGUAUUAAAAAUCUGUAAGUGACAUAGAAUAGAAAUAACGAUAACAUGUUGCCGUUAUUUCUGACUGUAUUUCAGAGAAUUCUCCCUACCUCUGAAGCCUUUUUAUUGCUGAUGAAACUCGACUUCAGCCAGAGAAAUCUUCUCAUUCGUGUUAAUGUGAGGUAAUUCAGGCCCACACCAGUGAAGGCCCAAAAUAAAAGCAAAAGUGAUUGCGGGGCAGAGCCAUCUCUGUGAGUUAAAAUGAAGUCUAGCCACGUGAGUGAAGCUAAGAAUUUGCAGCGUGACCUUUAGUGCUAGAAGUAGACCCUCCAUAAUAACAGGUAGGGGCUAGCUCUCAGAUUAAUUACUUCUUUUCGCCUUUUAUAUAUUAUAGUAGAAUUAUAUAUGGUUGAAUUUAAAUAGUAAUUUUGGAAGAUUAUCAAUAUGCAUCACAUAUUAUCCAUUUGGAAAGUAUUAUAGCCUACAAGAUACGGAUCUGGUUAUUAUUUUCUGCAUCUAUAGCAUUAGUACUUACCUAUAUCAAUACUGGAAGUUUUAGUAUAAUAAUGCAUUAGAACUAUAGCAAACAACAUCUUGUCAACUCUGAUUUCAGUGUGGGAUACUCAAGUUUUCCUUGUCAUGCCAUUAGAAAGGGCUAAACUACAUUAAUAAGCAAAAAGUUGACAAGAAGGAGCAGAUGAAUGGCCUGGCCAUGGAUUGCUUCUCGGAACCGCUGCCCGAUGCUGCCAUGGAGCAGGAUGUUACUGGGCAUCCAUCGGUGUAAUGCCAUUACGAGGGUAAAUUUUCUCUAGCUUGUAAUUUCAAGUGAAUGCCCAUUUCUAGUUAUCUGGUAUCUAGAAAAUACAUAAGUGAGUUUAUCCUGCUACUUGAUUUCAAGAGUAAGCCUGCCCAAUCUGUACGUCUCACUACCUUCUGCAGCAAGCAGGCUGCAAGCCGCACUGCUCAAGCACUGAAACUCGUAUCUGAAGCUUGAAGGUGCCUACUUGCUGCUCAGGCCUCUGCCUUACAGCUGACCCAUGCUGGCUUUUGUAUUCCUGUACACCUCUGCAAGAGUCAGCAUGGGUAUUCCCCUGGAUCCUGAUGUCCUCUGAAAGAAACCAAUCUGAUAAUACCCACUGGAUGAAAAGAAACAAUGUAGGAUGGUUGUGAUUAUAUAUACAUGAUCCCUAUCCCUACGUUUUUAUCUGGCAGAAGAUAAAGGAUAACAAAUUUCAAAUUUUCAGUUAAUUGAAUAAGUCCCACCUACUAAUUUAGGAGCCGGUGAUUAAAAAAAAAAAACAACAUUCAAACAGCUUUGUAUCUUACCUUUUCUCUGCAAUUUAAAUUAAAUUUAUUCUAUUUUAAGUUGUUAAUAAUUUUAUAACGUUGCAUAAUUAUUUAUUUACUGUAGUUGCUUUCAGUAGUGUAUAAACUUAGAAUAAAAGACUAAUAACCAUCAAAUGUAGUCAUUUGCUAACAUGGUAUUGCCUUCAGUUCUAGAGCUGUUAGUAUAUGUGACAUCAUAUGUAAGAGCAAAACCAAUACAAAAAUAAUUCACAAGUUAAGUUUAGAAUUGAACACAGCAAUUUAAAUGAAGUAAUAAAAUAUCAUUUUGAGUUUGAUUUAUUAUUAAGCAUACAACAUAUAGUGAGUUACAUAACAGUAGCUCCAUUUCAGCAUUUAUCUGAUAUUUUAUAUUCAAUGUAUAUUUUUAUUCUACAACUCAGCAGUCUAAUUUAUAAUUAAACAUUAUUUCAAAUGAUAAAUAAUCAAUUUUUUAUCAUUCUAGAUAAGCUCCACCAACUUGCUUAAUUAAUUUACUUUUGAAUUUUAAAGUUUACUCAGAACUUCUAUUUUUUUGGUCUAUGUUCCUGUUCAGUUUGCCAGUUCAUAGAGUUACUGGAUUGUCUUCCUCAUGUAAACAGUGAAAGUGAUACUGUCCCCUUUAAUCCACCCGAAUCACAGGAAUUAAAUCUUCAGACUGCAGUGAUGACCCUAAAUUAGGUGAUAGAUUUUGUUAAGUGAUCCCGCAGAACAGCUCUGCAGAGAAAUGAUUGAGAAGUUAAUCUGUUCCGCUGAGAUGAGAAGUGUAUCUUUGUCCUUGGGAAGCUGCAGUCUGUCCAGGCAGUGACCUUCUUGGAGCCGUACCAUUUCUCAGGUAGUACGUGGACACUUUCCCUGUGGAUGAGAAGCAGCAAGUGUUGAAGCUGGCAGUAGGAUAAGGGAGCACGUACAGCCUGUCUGGUGCUGAGACAUGGCUUGUGGAUGUGUCCACCGGCUGUCUGCAGACUGAUGUCAUGUUAGCUGAAAGAGCUGGAUCUCAGACUAAGUUACUUGGGUCCACUGAAUUAAAG